rnacentral:rRNA from 1 species
UACGUAGGGUGCGAGCGUUAAUCGGAAUUACUGGGCGUAAAGCGUGCGCAGGCGGCUUUGCAAGACAGAUGUGAAAUCCCCGGGCUCAACCUGGGAACUGCAUUUGUGACUGCAAGGCUAGAGUACGGCAGAGGGGGAUGGAAUUCCGCGUGUAGCAGUGAAAUGAGUAGAUAUGCGGAGGAACACCAAUGGCGAAGGCAAUCCCCUGGGCCUGUACUGACGCUCAUGCACGAAAGCGUGGGGAGCAAACAGG